rnacentral:rRNA from 1 species
AGCGAACGCUGGCGGCAGGCCUAACACAUGCAAGUCGAACGAACUCUUCGGAGUUAGUGGCGGACGGGUGAGUAACACGUGGGAACGUGCCUUUUGGUUCGGAAUAACUCAGGGAAACUUGUGCUAAUACCGAAUGUGCCCUUCGGGGGAAAGAUUUAUCGCCAUUAGAGCGGCCCGCGUCUGAUUAGCUAGUUGGUGAGGUAACGGCUCACCAAGGCGACGAUCAGUAGCUGGUCUGAGAGGAUGACCAGCCACACUGGGACUGAGACACGGCCCAGACUCCUACGGGAGGCAGCAGUGGGGAAUCUUGCGCAAUGGGCGAAAGCCUGACGCAGCCAUGCCGCGUGAAUGAUGAAGGUCUUAGGAUUGUAAAAUUCUUUCACCGAGGACGAUAAUGACGGUACCCGGAGAAGAAGCCCCGGCUAACUUCGUG